UCUCGACUGCUAUAGAUACAGACGGUGUUUUUUGUAGUUUUAUACGGGAAUAUCACUAAGGUUGAAGGUGUCUGAAGCCACAGUACGGCUUAUAAAGAAGAAAGUGGAGUCAGGUUAUAAAGUAAGCCCGAAACGAAGGAGUAGAUGUGGCCUGCCGACCCGCCAAGAGGCCCAAGUUAACGGCUGCGAUGAAAACCAAGCGUCGGAAAUGGACCACACAGUGGCGCUAUAAAGAUGUCAACUUCUGGAGAUCGUCUGCUUUAGCGAUGAAAGCACAUUUGAAAUUUUGCAGAAUAGAGAUCAGUUUUUACGCCCUCGUCCUGGAGAAAAAUUUAAUCCUGACUGCGCUGUUCAACCUGUGAAGCAUCCUACAAAGGUUAUGAUCAGGCCAGUUAUCAGCGGAAAGGUAUUAGACGUUUGUACGUGGUAAAAGGCAUUAUGAGACAAGAUCAGUAUAUAGAAGUCUUGCAAACUCGGUUGGUUCCCCAGCUCAGAGAGUAGUUUCCGAAUGGGGAGCCAUUCAUUUUCAUGCAGGAUGGCGCUGCCUGCCAAACGGAGCGAUCUGUGAAAACUUAUUUGCAAGAGCAGAAUAUUCCUCUAUUGGAUUGGCCGGGCAAUAGCCCCGAUAUGAACCCAAUUGAAAAUAUGUGGGAGCUGAUGAAGAGGGAAGUGGCUAAAGAGGUUAUCACAACCAAAACUCAAACCCAAAAAGUUUCUCAACAAAAUAUUAAUAUUCUAUGGCAUACAUCUCAAAGUUCUUUAGCAUUUUUUGUUAACAAUUAGG